rnacentral:rRNA from 1 species
CCUACGGGCGGCUGCAGUGGGGAAUAUUGCACAAUGGGGGAAACCCUGAUGCAGCGACGCCGCGUGAGUGAAGAAGUAUCUCGGUACGUAAAGCUCUAUCAGCAGGGAAGAAAAUGACGGUACCUGACUAAGAAGCCCCGGCUAACUACGUGCCAGCAGCCGCGGUAAUACGUAGGGGGCAAGCGUUAUCCGGAUUUACUGGGUGGAAAGGGAGCGUAGACGGCAGCACAAGUCUGGAGUGAAAUCCCGGGGUGUAACCCCGGAACUGCUUUGGAAACUGUGCGGCUGGAGUGCAGGAGAGGUAAGCGGAAUUCCUAGUGUAGCGGUGAAAUGCGUAGAUAUUAGGAGGAACACCGGUGGCGAAGGCGGCUUACUGGACUGUAACUGACGUUGAGGCUCGAAAGCGUGGGGAGCAAACAGGAGUAGAUACCCUAGUAGUC